rnacentral:lncRNA from 1 species
AUCUGAUCCUUUCUCUAACUGAUUUCUAAAUUAGGUACCCUAAACCCCUAACUAUGGUUCAUUCCCAAACGUUUAUAAGUCACCUACAAAUUUUAACGUCUUAUUCAACUAUCAAACUUAACGAAUUUACAAAUUUUUCACCUUCUUCCCCACUACUAUCCCUAAAUAAAUGAUAAAAAAUUAAAAUAAAUAAAUAAACGAGUGUUUCUCCCUCCACCACCCCAAGUGUUUCUACAUCUCUCCAUUAUUUUCUUUUAUUCCAAACAUACUCUACACAUCCCCACUAUUUUCUUUUAUUCCCAAAGUACCCUACACCUCCCCACUAUCCUCAAUUUGUCUUUCUCUCUUUACAUUAGAGCAUUUAUAUGGCUUAGA